rnacentral:rRNA from 1 species
UACAGAGGGGGCAAGCGUUGUUCGGAAUUACUGGGCGUAAAGAGCGUGUAGGCGGCCAGGUAGGUCUGGUGUGAAAACUCGAGGCUUAACCUCGAGAUGUCAUCGGAAACCAUUUGGCUAGAGUCCGGAAGAGGAGAGUGGAAUUCCUGGUGUAGCGGUGAAAUGCGCAGAUAUCAGGAAGAACACCAAUGGCGAAAGCAGCUCUCUGGGACGGUACUGACGCUGAGACGCGAAAGCGUGGGGAGCGAACAAG